GAUGAACGCUGGCGGCGUGCCUAAUACAUGCAAGUCGAGCGAACGGACGAGAAGCUUGCUUCUCUGAUGUUAGCGGCGGACGGGUGAGUAACACGUGGAUAACCUACCUAUAAGACUGGGAUAACUUCGGGAAACCGGAGCUAAUACCGGAUAAUAUUUUGAACCGCAUGGUUCAAAAGUGAAAGACGGUCUUGCUGUCACUUAUAGAUGGAUCCGCGCUGCAUUAGCUAGUUGGUAAGGUAACGGCUUACCAAGGCAACGAUGCAUAGCCGACCUGAGAGGAGGAUCAGGCACACUGGAAAUGAGACACGGUCCAGACGCCUAAGGGAGGCAGCAGGAGGGAAGCUUCGACAAUGGGCGAAAGCCUGAAGAAGCAACGCCGAGUGAGUGAAGAAGGUCUUCGGAUCGUAAAGCACUGUAAUUAGGGAAGAACAUAAGUAAACGUAGAUGUGCACGUCUUGACGGUACCAAAUCAAAAAGCAACGGAUAACUACGUG
rnacentral:rRNA from 1 species